rnacentral:rRNA from 1 species
UGGUGCCUACGGGGCGCAGCAGUGGGGAAUAUUGCACAAUGGGCGAAAGCCUGAUGCAGCAACGCCGCGUGAAGGAAGAAGGCCUUCGGGUCGUAAACUUCUGUCCUUGGGGAAGAAGAACUGACGGUACCCAAGGAGGAAGCCCCGGCUAACUACGUGCCAGCAGCCGCGGUAAUACGUAGGGGGCAAGCGUUAUCCGGAUUUACUGGGUGUAAAGGGAGCGUAGACGGCAUGGCAAGUCUGAUGUGAAAACCCGGGGCUCA